AUCAGCAGACGAGUCCCAAAUAGGACGAAAUGCGCAUCCUGGAU
rnacentral:hammerhead_ribozyme from 1 species